rnacentral:rRNA from 1 species
CGAAAGCCUGACGGAGCAACGCCGCGUGAGGGAUGGAGGCCUUUGGGCUGUAAACCUCUUUUCUCAAGGAGGAAGAUCUGACGGUACUUGAGGAAUAAGCCACGGCUAAUUCCGUGCCAGCAGCCGCGGUAAUACGGGAGUGGCAAGCGUUAUCCGGAAUUAUUGGGCGUAAAGCGUCCGCAGGCGGCCGUUUAAGUCUGUUGUUAAAUCGUGGAGCUCAACUCCAUCACGGCAAUGGAAACUGUUCGGCUUGAGUAUGGUAGGGGCAGAGGGAAUUUCCGGUGUAGCGAUGAAAUGCGUAGAUAUCGGGAAGAACACCAGUGGCGAAAGCGCUCUGCUGGGCCAUUACUGACGCUCAUGGACGAAAGCCAGGGGAGCGAAAGGGAUUAGAUACCCCUGUAGUCCUGGCCGUAAACGAUGAACACUAGAUGUUGGGGGAAUCGACCCCCUCGGUGUCGUAGCUAACGCGUUAAGUGUUCCGCCUGGGGAGUACGCACGCAAGUGUGAAACUCAAAGGAAUUGACGGGGGCCCGCACAAGCGGUGGAGUAUGUGGUUUAAUUCGAUGCAACGCGAAGAACCUUACCAAGGCUUGACAUCCUGCGAAUCUCUAAGAAAUUAGAGAGUGCCUUCGGGAACGCAGUGACAGGUGGUGCAUGGCUGUCGUCAGCUCGUGUCGUGAGAUGUUGGGUUAAGUCCCGCAACGAGCGCAACCCACGUUUUUAGUUGCCAGCAUUCAGUUGGGCACUCUAGAAAGACUGCCGGUGACAAACCGGAGGAAGGUGUGGACGACGUCAAGUCAUCAUGCCCCUUACGCCUUGGGCUACACACGUACUACAAUGCUGCGGACAAAGAGUAGCGAUCUUGCGAAAGUUAGCUAAUCUCAUAAACCGUGGCUCAGUUCAGAUCGUAGGCUGCAACUCGCCUACGUGAAGGAGGAAUCGCUAGUAAUCGCAGGUCAGCAUACUGCGGUGAAUACGUUCCCGGGCCUUGUACACACCGCCCGUCACACCAUGGAAGUUGGCCAUGCCCGAAGUCGUUACUCUAACCUUUUGGAAGAGGGCGCCGAAGGCAGGGCUAAUGACUGGGGUGAAGUCGUAACAAGGUAGCCGUAGCGGAAGCUGCGGCUGGAUCACCUCCUAA